CCGCCAUCUGUUGAUAUCUUCCUAAUCUGUAUCUUCAAAAUAGACUUCUAUUUCAGACUUGUAUAAUUUAAUGGGAAGCAGAUGUCUCACAGACACCUCAAGCUCAACGUCCUGUUCCCACCCUCUCACUUUCUAUUGAAACUGUCUCUGCUGUCUGUACUCCCUUCCUUGUUCUUUUGCACCUGGACUAGACAGAAGACUACAGUUCAAUAAGAAGGAAACACAUUCAUUUUCAGUAUUGUUAAUAAAGAAGCUUACCUAAAAGAAGGAAAUCAAAACAAGAUAAUCUACACUGCAACUAGGGGAGGCUAUUGAAUGUGAUGGUCCCCUCAGAUGCCUAGAGGAAGAUGAACAAUGGUAAUCAGAUAUCCUAAAGUUAUCUUUAGGGCACUGGCAAAAUAGCAGCAAUGCCUGGUGGAAGCUGACUUUGUGCAUACACAUGAGAGCCCACAGAAAACUUCAAACUUCAUGGAAAUAAAACCUUCAGCUGCAGCUAAGAAUUUGGAGGUUACUGAAGGAGGUUACUUUUUCAAGAGCAGAAGUAAGGAUUCCACUGAAUUUGCUCACCAAAGAUAAGUCAGCAAAGAAAACUUACUGAAGAAUACAGACAGCAUAUCAGCUCCUGCUUUCCAGACAAACUUCCUGGGUCUUGGGAAGAAGAAAGCCUCAGACUAAGAACUCUCUCUGGACUCAGACAGCCUGAAUUCAAAUCCCAUCUCUAUUCUUACUAGUCAUAUGAACACAGAUAGUGAAGAAUGAAAGAGAAGCAAAACAGAUCCUGCAGGUUGUGCUCACCACGGUGAAAAUCAUUAUUUGCAACUCCCACAGGAGAACCAUAUCCAUUCAGCUCACUUUGGACCACCUGUGGAGCCUGAUAACCAGGGAACAGAGAACCUGUUGAGAUCCAAAUUUGUGUGCCAGAUCACAAACUCAUCUGAAGCAGAUGCCACGUGUUACACUGUUAUGUCUCUCAGAGACUCCAGCACUUUGAAAGUAUUAGGCCUUGCUUAUUGAGAUGAAUAUUUUUUUCUAGGCAUGUCCCAAAGUUCUCAGCAUAGCUACAACCCUGAUUUUCACAGGAUUUUCAUUAAAAUUAGGUUCUAGAGCAUUACUUCCCUAAUGUGCAAUGCAACUUACGUUUAGUUUUCAAAUCAAAAUUAGUUUUGUUUUUCCACUGUCUUUGUCUUUGAAAAUAUUGAACUUGGGAUUUCCAAAAUUAUAAUUAGCAAUUAUUUUUACAUAUCUUUUAUAUACAUAACUUUUACAAUGGCUGCCAUUAUCAUGUAGGUUCUUAGGAAGUGUUUCUGAUCCUUGUAAAUAAAAGUGAAAGAAGAAAUCUUUACUGCUUGCUGACCCAUGUGACUAACCUUGAAAUCAGAGAGGCAGAUUCAUUUAAAACAAACUUGCAAACUGUUAAGCAAAGUACUGAAUCUCUGUGACUUGACCAAAAGUAAUUCAGACUUGACUAUUCCAGGCUCCCUUCUAUCUCUGUAGCAACCCAUGCAUCAUAGACUCCAGUUGCAAUGGAUGGUCAAGGAAUCUGCUGUGCCUUUUGAGUCUCUCCAUUUUAUAUUGCCAAAUUUAUCUUCCUUUAAUACUUCACUUCACAUAAGACACUAAGAUAAACAAGGAUGCAACUCACUUAUAUUUCAAAAUAGUACCUAGUGGUUAAAAGUACUUGUUCUGAAAGCAACUCUAUUUUUCUAGUUCUAACAUGUCUCCAACUAGUUAUCUCACCUUGAGCUUGGCACAUAAUCACUCCAUCUUACUUUUGCAUCUGUGACACAAGAAAAAUACCACCCACCUCAACAUAGAUCUUAUGAAGAUUAAAAUAAGAUUAUGAAAGUAAAAUGCUCAGCACAAUGUCUAAACGAAAAUAAAUGCUCAGCAAGUAGGAGCUACUAUAAUUAUUAUCCAGAUCAAAUAUUUUCUCCUCUAUGAAGCUUUCUUAUUCUUCCCCAGCUGGAAUUACUUAUUUUCUUCCUUGCUUUCUACACCACACUUUAGUCACCACCAUGCUGGCACUUGUCUCACCGCAUUAUAAUUAUUUAUGUGCCUGUGUUCCAUAACCAGAAUAUGGGACUUAAGCUUCUUUAUACCUCCAGCAUAAUUGUUUCAUGUGUGCUUUUAGGUAAUGGAGUAAAAUGGAUGAAUGAGUGAAUGCGACUAUAGUACUAAAUGCUCUUAGAUAAAGAUGUAAUUAUUCUUAAGUGAUAAAAUUAUUCGAACAUGAGUAGUUCAGAUAAUGAGAGACUGUCAUAGAAUUACUUGAUAAAAUCUAGUCAAUAAAAUGGCUUGGCAAUAUAACCUUUAUGAUUUCUUUAAACAAUCAUUCAUUUCUUUCUGAAGAUGAGAAGAGGAGAUUCCUUCUCCCAUCUUUAUAUUUCAACAAUGAUUAGAAAACAAAUUGAUCUCUGGGAUCAGUGCCCAAUACCAUUAAAGUGGUAUACAUCUUACAAUUCUUAAUUAAUUUGUGGCAUACAUAUACCAGUCUCCACAGCCAGCUUCAUCUGCAUACAGCAGCAUAAUCACUUUUUUCCUUAUAGUAAAGACAUAUUAUGAGUCAUCAAAGUCUUCUCCGGGGGUUGUGGUUAUCAUCUGGUAAUCACACCCUUGGGAGGUUAAAAACACUUAUCUUUGGAUCAUGACUUGCAAUGCCCCAGGGGUGUGAUUAUCUCAGGCAACUCACACUUUCUGUCAUGCCUAAUUGCUUAAUUAUUAUAGCUGCAAGUUCACACCACCAUACAGGAACUCAUGUUGUGUCAGCAUUUCCACUAUAAAUUCCUUUUUCAAGAGUCUAUAACUCAGCCAUAAAAAAAAAAAAAAAAAAAACCUAUGGUCCAUUGAAGCACUGCAGUAAGAGUCUUAUUCCAGGAAACAUUUCUGUAAUAGGUUAAUUGUAUCUUAAAAAUUGGGUCCUGAUUCUCAUAGUUAGUUCACCAAAGAAAUAAAUGCUAAUUAAAUGUCUCUAAAUUAUAUAUUUUUCUGUAUGGCUGGGUAAAUAAUGUAAAUCCUAAAGACAUAAAUAUUAUUUUUUAAAUAUAACAAGAAUGGCUCAUACAAUUUCCAGUUUUUUGGAAAUACACUUACACAUAUUUAUAAAAUAUUAUAUAAGUAGAAUGAGCUAAACCAUAGUUAGAGAACAUUGUCAUAUGCAAUCAUGUACUACAUAAUAUUUCAGUCAGUGGACAGCAUGUGGCAGUGGUCACAUAAGAUUAUAACGCAGCUGAAAAAUUCCUGUUGUCUAAUGACAUCAUGGCUGUCAUAACUGUCAUGGCCGUCAUGGCCAUCUGAACAUUGUAGUACAAUGUAUUCCUCAUGUGUUUGUGGUGAUGCUGAUGUAAACAAGCAUCUGCACUGCCAGUUGUAUAAAAGUGUAGCACAUACAAUUAUGUACAUACAAUUAUGCACACACAAUUAUGUACAACACAUAAUAUUUUAUAAUGACAAUAAACAAUUUUGUUACCGGUUUAUGUAUUCACUGUACUAUACCUUUCAUCAUUAUUUUAGAGUGUACUCUUUCUACUUAUAUAUAAAAAAAAGUUAAUUGUAAAACAGCCUCUAGCAGGUCCUUCAGGACAUAUUCCAGAAGAAGGCAUUGUUAUCAUAGGAGAUGACGGUUCCAUGCGUGUUAUUGCCCCUGAAGACCUUCCAGUGGGUCAAGAUAUGGAGGUGAAAGACAGUGAUAUUGAUGAUCCUGACCCUGCGUAGGCCAAG
rnacentral:lncRNA from 1 species